rnacentral:rRNA from 1 species
CCUACGGGGGGCAGCAGUGAGGAAUAUUGGUCAAUGGCCGCAGGGCUGAACCAGCCAAGUCGCGUGAGGGAUGACGGUCCUAUGGAUUGUAAACCUCUUUUGUCAGGGAGCAAAGGGCGCCACGUGUGGCGUUUUGCGAGUACCUGAAGAAAAAGCAUCGGCUAACUCCGUGCCAGCAGCCGCGGUAAUACGGAGGAUGCGAGCGUUAUCCGGAUUUAUUGGGUUUAAAGGGUGCGCAGGCGGAAUGUCAAGUCAGCGGUAAAAUUUCGGGGCUCAACCCGUGAACUGCAUUUGAAACUGUUUCCCUUGAGUGUCGGAGAGGUAAUCGGAAUUCCUUGUGUAGCGGUGAAAUGCGUAGAUAUAAGGAAGAACACCAGUGGCGAAGGCGGAUUACUGGACGAUAACUGACGGUGAGGCGCGAAAGCGUGGGGAGCAAACAGGAUUAGAUACCCGUGUAGUC